GACGAACGCUGGCGGCGUGCUUAACGCAUGCAAGUCGAACGGAGUGGCGAACGGGUGAGUAACAAGUGGGUGAUCUGCCUUGCACUAGGGGAUAAGCUUGGGAAACUGGGUCUAAUACCGGAUAGUGCAAGAGGAGCUCGCGGCCUAUCAGCUUGUUGGUGGGGUAAUGGCCUACCAAGGCGUCGACGGGUAGCCGGCCUGAGAGGGUGUACGGCCACAUUGGGACUGGGAUCCUGCCCAGACUCCUACGGGCGGAAGCAGUGGGGAUUACUGUACACUGGGCGGAUGCCUGAUGGAGCGUCGGCGCGUGGUGGAUGCACGCCUUCGGGUUGUAAACUCCUUUUUUCAGGAACGCGGUACCUGUAUAAGAAGCACCGGCUAACUACGUGCCCGCCGCCGCGUAAUUC
rnacentral:rRNA from 1 species